AGUCGAGGGGCAGCAUCAUCAAAGCUUGCUUUGAUGGAUGACGACCGGCGCACGGGUGAGUAACACGUAUCCAACCUGCCGACAACACUGGGAUAGCCUUUCGAAAGAAAGAUUAAUACCGGAUGGCAUAGUUUUCCCGCAUGGGAUAAUUAUUAAAGAAUUUCGGUUGUCGAUGGGGAUGCGUUCCAUUAGGCAGUUGGCGGGGUAACGGCCCACCAAACCGACGAUGGAUAGGGGUUCUGAGAGGAAGGUCCCCCACAUUGGAACUGAGACACGGUCCAAACUCCUACGGGAGGCAGCAGUGAGGAAUAUUGGUCAAUGGACGAGAGUCUGAACCAGCCAAGUAGCGUGAAGGAUGACUGCCCUAUGGGUUGUAAACUUCUUUUAUACGGGAAUAAAGUUAGCCACGUGUGGCUUUUUGUAUGUACCGUAUGAAUAAGGAUCGGCUAACUCCGUGCCAGCAGCCGCGGUAAUACGGAGGAUCCGAGCGUUAUCCGGAUUUAUUGGGUUUAAAGGGAGCGUAGGCGGGUUGUUAAGUCAGUUGUGAAAGUUUGCGGCUCAACCGUAAAAUUGCAGUUGAUACUGGCGACCUUGAGUGCAACAGAGGUAGGCGGAAUUCGUGGUGUAGCGGUGAAAUGCUUAGAUAUCACGAAGAACUCCGAUUGCGAAGGCAGCUUACUGAAUUGUAACUGACGCUGAUGCUCGAAAGUGUGGGUAUCAAACAGGAUUAGAUACCCUGGUAGUCCACACAGUAAACGAUGAAUACUCGCUGUUGGCGAUAUACAGUCAGCGGCCAAGCGAAAGCAUUAAG
rnacentral:rRNA from 1 species